AGCUGAAGUUUCCCCAGCGGUGCUUUUUGUGCUGGGUUGUCUCACUGUGUGGUUGGACUACCACAGUGACUCAUUAUACGCUGCAUGCUGUACAAAAACUCAAAAUGGAACUUUUCAAGGUUUUGCAACAGAAAUGUUCCCACAUUAGGGAAUUUUUGGAUAUUUUCUCUUUUUUAAGUAAUCGAGAGUGGUUGAGUGAGUUGUGUGGAGUGUAAAUGUUUGUAAAAGUAAUUUUUUUUGCUGAAUCCCUCAUGGUGGAGGUUAGUGCUUACACAUUGUAAAUAUGACUGAAAUUAUGGAUGGGAACUUUUGAUGGGUUCUGUCUUUUCAGAUAUGGUUUAUAUCAGGUUGUAAUGCUUUAUAUGAUCAAUUGAUUGCAAUUUUAACAGUGAUUGCCACCGCUGGGUUUUUAUUUGAGCCUGUAGCUCAGUGGGCUUACCUUCGGAAAACCCAUCAAACUUACCGUCCUGCCAAGUAAGUAUGACCUUCAACAUGCAUUCAACUUCUUUUUGUCUGGAUUUCUCCUUGUUAGACCAAGGAGCUUGCCCAUCUGUAAUUCUGUACUGAAAACUAAAACCCUGCAAAAAUCCUUGGGGUUAGAUACCCUCAUCGGGCUGAAAUAGCAUUUAGUUAGUUUCCCUUAAAUUUACUGCAACAGUGACAAGAUUGACUAGCUGGUUCAGUUGAGAAGAGUGAGGGUUUUUGUAAGGUUCACUCUGUCAGUGUCUACCGCUGAUCCUUUAACUUUUGGAAAACCGAUCAGACUUCAUGUUAAACCAAAAGACCUGUCCAAAACUUUAGUCCCUGUGGUCUCUGUAAUGGCCCCUGUGGCCCCAGAGAACCCCACAAUACCUGAUGUAUGCCUGGCAGCAGGAUUCGGGGACACGACUUUGUCUAUGUCCCUGACUUUAGAAGAUGGCAGUAAAAGUAAUCGGGAUGUUUCACAGGCAGUGCUGUCCACUGCAAGCAAAUCUUAUUACUUUGCUGCCUUUGAAAACAACAUGGAUGAAUGUGAACUUGCCGGAGGAAAGGGCAAAAAAAAACAGAAGAAAGAAGACCCAGUAACCCAAUCACCUAAAGCCCCCAGUUUGAAUUGUAGCAGCAGCCCGGUAGAAAGGAGUUCCAACACCACUGGUCAUGCAAAUCCAAAGACAAAUUUCAUGUCGGUACUGGUGACCGGGCUGAGAAUUCUGUUCGCUAAAGCGGUGGCAUUUAACACAAUGAUGACAGUCAAGGUUUUAGUUUACUGAGGAUGGCUGUAACUCCUGAAGAACUUCUGAAGUCUUGAAGCAGGACAUGUGUUCAGAGGAACGGGAGAGUCUCUUUAUACUUAUUUUUUAUUCCUAGCCUGUAGGUCUGUAAAGUGGACCUUCAUGCUUUAUUCUAGAAAUGUUUUGUAUGGCCUUUUGUGAUAUCUCAGUAUAAAGAUGAUCCAUUUUGCUUUUCUAAUCUGAAAGUUAAAGAAUGUAGGAUUAAGAAAUGUCAUGACGUUGUCAAUUUCUAUGCAUAGAUUUCUUUUUUCAACUUUGCAUUUAUUAACUUUUAUUAUUUGCAUUUAUUCACAUUUAUUAUUUUUUAUGUGGAGAUUAAUCUGUAUAUGUUUUAAAGAGAAGAAAAGUCCACAGAGGCGAGAAACAGUUUAAACCACACGAACAUCCUGAGAAGCAUCUAACCACAUGGCCUGACAUGAAUCUCGAGAAGCUCCACGGUUUCAGGAAGCUUGCAGUUUCACACGAGCAGCGUCUCGCUCUUUUAUAACAAGCUGAUGUACAUCUCCACUGUGUAUUCUGAACAAAUUACUUUACAUUAAAUCAAAUGUGCCACCAAAU
ensembl:lncRNA